CCCCCGGCAGAAAGGAGAGGGACUCCCUAUUCAAGGCAGGAGGCUCUCCCCCACUUGUCGCCGGGCACUCAGUGAGAUACCCCACACCUGUGGAAAACGACUACCAAGGAGGCCUCCAGUCCAUCCAAACUUUCAAUUUGGAAACCGAGCUGCCUGGACUCUCGAGAGAGGUUUUGCAGAGAUUGCAAGGCCAUUAUACUCUGCAACGGGGGGAAAGGAAGCCAUCCUGGUCUGGACAGAAAAGGAAGAAGAGGCUUAUAAAAGACUGAAAGAAGCCCUGUAGUUGCCCGAAUGCAGUUGAGACCUUAUUAAGAAGCCCCCCGGAGAGAUGGAUGUCUAACGCCCGCAUUACCCAGUACCAGGUGUUGCUGCUAGACCCACCACGAGUCAGCUUCCUGAAAACAGCUGCCUUAAACCCAGCCACACUCCUCCCUGCCGAGGAGGUAGAGCCCCCUUUGCAUGACUGCGAGGAGACAUUGACUGCCCUCACUUCCCUCCGAGAGGACCUCGUGGACCAGCCCCUGCAGAAUCCGGAUGAGAGAAUCUACACGGAUGGGAGCAGCUUCGUAGAAGGAGGUACCCGGUAUGCGGGGGCGGCAGUGGUGACACAAAAGGAGAUUCUCUGGGCACAGGCCUUAGGACGAGGCACCUCAGCCCAAAAGGCAGAACUCAAAGCACUCACUCAGGCCCUCCAGUGGGGAAAAUGAAAAAGAGUGAACAUUUUCACGGACAGUCGGUAUGCUUUUACCACAGUACAUGUGCAUGGGGCCCUAUAUCAAGAAAGAGGUCUCCUGACAUCAGGAGGAAAGGACAUUAAAAACGAGUCUGAAAUACUUAAUCUCCUGGCAGCCAUAUGGGGGCCAAAGAAAGUGGCGGUAAUUCAUUGUUGGGGGCACCAGAAGGGAAAUAGUCCCGAAGCACAGGGAAAUCGAUUUGCAGUCCUAACCACCAAGGAAGUGGCUAAAAGACCUGUAGGGCCCCUAGAAGUUCUCGUAGCCCUGCCAGCACGAAGGCUUCCAGAGAAGCCUACUUAUUUAUUAGAGGAGCAGAGACUAGCUAAGAAGCUAAGGGCCCGGGAAGGAGAGGAUGGAUGGCUAAUUCUGCCAGUUGGGAGGCCUAUAGUACCAGAAGUCCUGGGGCGGACCAUCGCUUCCCAGACCCACCAAAGCACCCACCUGGGGGGAACGAAGCUAUCAGAACUACUGGGAAGAGAAUUUUACAUUCCAGGGCUCCAGAAAAUAUCCCAAGACUUGGCCAGAAGGUGCCAAGUAUGUGCCCAGGUGAACCAAGGGCCCCCUCUUGUGGCCGCACCGGGGCAGCGAUUCCGAGGUCAGAACCCCGGAGAACACUGGGAAGUGGACUUCACUGAGAAACCAGGAGGACAAGGAGGAUAUAAGUACCUGCUGGUUUUUGUUGAUACCUUCUCUGGAUGGCCUGAGGCAUACCCAACUAAGGCAGAGACAGCACAGGUAGUAGUUAGGAAACUCCUCACUAAAAUUGUCCCCCGGUUUGGCCUGCUACUAUAUGUGGGGUCCGACAACGGUCCAGUGUUUAUCGCCAAAGUUGCACAAUUCAUAGUUAAGGCCCUGAGAGUAACUUGGAAAUUACAUUGUGUUUAUAGACCACAGAGUUCUGGACAGGUAGAGAGGAUGAAUCGGACCUUAAAGGAAACAUUAACUAAGUUAAAAUUAGAGACUGGCGAAAACUGGGUAAGUGUCCUUCCUUUAGCCCUCCUCAGAGCUAGGUGCACCCCGUACAUAAAAGGACUCACCCCUUUUGAAAUUAUGUUUGGCAGGCCUCCACCUCUUCUUCCCCGCCUAAGGGAGGAAGAAAUUGCCUGGCUGUAUCCCUGAAAUAUGCUUAAGUCCUUACAGGCUUUGCAGAGCAGCGCCAGGUCGGCACAACGGGUGGUGAGAGCCUUACGUGAGGAGGACGCACUGAGAACCAGCCCAACGCAGCCUGCCUUCUCUCCGGGUGAUCUCGUCUGGGUAAAACCCCACAGCCCUAGCAGCCUGGAACCUAGAUGGGAUGGACCCUACCAGGUGGUGCUGAGCACUCCAACCGCCAUCAAAGUUGCAGGAAAGAGGCACUGGAUCCAUCGUACGCAGGUUAAGAAGGCAAAGGACAGUGUCGAGGGAUGGUGGGUCCAGAGAACUGGAGACCUGUUAAAGGUCAGACUCACUCGGUGUUCAUCCUGACUCUUCUCGUCUGCAUGCACCAGGAUUGGGAAAUCCCCAUUCAGCCAAGAAUUACUCUUGGGAGGUCACAAGUACUAUUGAUUGGAUUGUUAUAGGCUCUGUUGUAGGAGUAGGGGUGCCUGUCAUCCAGACAGAUCUCUGCAAACUGUUUGGAAACAACUGGGGAAAUUCCCAUAGCUGAUCCGUAUGGACCAGGUAUGGCUGGGGGGACCAACCCUGGGUCACCGGAGUCAGGAGUUAUGGGUGCAGAAGCUUGGACUUAGAGCAAGGAUUAUGGCACACUGAACAUUAUGUCUGCCCCCGGGAAGGGGGUAGUGACUGUGGAGGAGAGGGAGACUUCUAUUGUGCCUCUGGGGUCUGUGAGACCCUAGCCCUAUGGAAAAAACCUCCCACCGACAAACUCCUCCGUCUGACCAGAGAGGUUCGAACUGGGGCCCCAAAGGAAAACUGCACUAUCGGAGAUUGCAACCCCGUCAUCCUCAUGCCUCUUGCCUGGUGGACUGACCAAUGGGAAGGGGAAAAACGUGGGGGCUAAGACUCUAUGUCAGCAGCCGAGACCCUGGCCAGCUUUUUACCAUUCAGCGCCGGACUCUUCCCCAGUGGCUCAACCCGAUUGGCCCCUUGCGUCCCCUAGAAAAACAGAAGAGGCCGAGCUUGCCACAGCACCCAGCCCCAGCAAAACCUCCUGGUUCCCCUGAGUCACAAAAGCCUGGGAACCCCAGCCGUGCUCCACCUGCAGCCACAACCUCGCCAGCCCUUGGGAACAUACAACAGCUUUUAGGAGCAGGCACAGGAAGACCAAACCAGCAGCUGCUGGGAACUCUGGACUUAAUGUUUUCUUUCCUGAAUCGCACCUCCCCAAACCUGACCGCUGAUUGCUGGCUGUGCCUUAACCCUGAACCCCCUUAUUAUGUUGGGAUAGGGGCAGAGGCCCAGCUUAGGAAGGAUACCUCUGCCAUCAGAAACCUUUCAGUAGAAAGUCUGCUGGACGGACUGUGUAUGUGGGGACACAAACAACCGGGACUUACUCUUGGGGACAUCCUGAACCCAGGGACUUGUGUGUACCCUAGGAACUACCCCGUUAGCAGUUCCACUUAUACAGAUCUAUGUAAUUCAUCUAUCAUACUUCCAAUGAAUUAUACAGGAGAGACCCCCACCUACUUAGAGCUCCGGAGGGGACUUGGUGGGCAUGUACAACUGGUAUAAUUCCUUGCAUCUUCUCUCCAGUCCUCCAGCAUCCAACGAACCCUGGACUAUGCAUUCUAACUCAUAUCCUCCCACAGGUGUACUACUAUUUGGGAGAAGGGGGCCGAGAACAUUUAAAUCUCGAACCCAAGAGGGUUAGAAGGGCCCCCAUCCUAGUUCCCCUUCUUAUGGGAAAAGGACUAGCAGAAUCUACGGCCAUCGGAACAGUUGCCCUAGCAACUGGCCACCAAAAUUAUAAAGAGUUAAGCAGACAGAUAAUAUUUGAGCACUCUUGAGAAAUCUGUUAGCCAACUGGAGGACUCCCUCAGUUCACUUGCAGAGGUGGUGUUGCAAAACAGAAGAGGCCUAGAUCUGCUUUUCCUAAAGCAGGGAGGCCUCUGUCUGGCCCUAGGGGAAACUUGCUGUUUCUACACCAACCACUCCGGGGUAAUCAGGGAAAGCCUUAGCCAGCUGGGAAAACGGCUGGCUGACCGAGAAGAGGCAAGAAGGGCAGAGGGAAAUUGGUAUGAGAAUUUAUUUUCCUGGUCCCCCUGGCUAACUACCCUGCUCUCUGCACUGGCAGGACCAGUCAUUAUACUCCUCCUAAGGCUAAUAUUUGGCACCUGCAUUGCCAGAUGCCUCCUCAACUUCAUACAAAAUCGAAUACAGGCUGUAAAGUUAAUGGUUUUACAUACCCAAUACUCCAGAAUCUUAGAGGAGAAUGCUGAAUCAAAGAUUUGAUUCGGGCAUAAGUCCAGUAGGGAAUGUCACAGGGUGUGGGACUGAGCCAUGGAAAGGAUUGCCAAAUGUUACAGAAUGUGCUAAGGGGAGGAAAGGAAACAUGAGAAACUGAAUGUACUGGGAGGGGGGACUGACGUAUGGAGAGUGAUUGUGUAGGACUGUGUCAGGGACAGAAGGCAUGGAAGAAAAAUUGCGAGAUUGUCUUAGAAAAACAAUGUGUUAUGUAUGAUACGCUCCAGCCAGGUGUGACUCUGUUUACCCACCUCUGUUCUCAUGAACUUUUUGUGAACUUCUAAUGAAAUGCAUUGUAGUUGUUUUGUUUUUUUCUAACACUAUGUAAUUUUGCUAUAAAAAUCAUACUGCACACUUGCUCUUGGCCACAUGCUGCGAGGCUUCCCAGAGGGGGAAGGUACGGGCUGUGGUCAGCUGGCCAGCUUAAUAAAGACUCUUAAAUUUAAAUUCUA